rnacentral:rRNA from 6 species
CACAUGACUCUCGGCAACGGAUAUCUCGGCUCUCGCAUCGAUGAAGAACGUAGCAAAAUGCGAUACCUGGUGUGAAUUGCAGAAUCCCGUGAACCAUCGAGUUUUUGAACGCAAGUUGCGCCCGAGACCUUCUGGUCGAGGGCACGUCUGCCUGGGCGUCACG